AAAUUUGUCUGCUAACUUCACGACGGUGAACUAAUAAAGUUAGGUUGGGAAAAAAUUUGUGAAAACAGUUUUCCACCACAGAAGAUCCUUUCGGAUAUUCUUUUUUAUCUAAAAAUCUUUUUGAUCCCUUGUAUAUGUGUGUAUAUAUAUAACAUGCAUGUCUAUGUACUUCAUUCUGGUUUCUCAUCGCAGGCAUUAAUACAUAACGCUGAUAAACAUGGAAUCCUGAUAGGGGAUAAAAAAGAAUUAGGCGGUGCAGCGACAAAACUAUUUAUUAGUUUAGCAUAUUUAUCUGAAGAUCUCAUAGUACAAGGCUUCCAUUUAAUAAAAAAUAUUAUUUUUCAAAAUAACAAGAACUUGCAAUCUUUUUUACUUAUUAUAAGGAAACAUGGAUCAAUGGCUAUACGCCAAGUUCUUUUUGUAUUUAAUGUGGUACAUCGGACAAACAAUCUUUUAGAAAGGCAUAAUAGAGUUAAAAAAAAAAAACGUUCAUCAGUUGUUGAAUUUAUGGCGUACCUUACUCAACACUAAAAAACUGAACACAGUUUUAAAAAACACCCAAAAUUCUAGGCAAGAAAAGAGAGAAAGAAUGUACAGAAGGAAAAUGCCUUAAAAAAAAUUUGGCAUCAAAUAGAACAAGAAAUGGAUGAC